UCCUACUUGUUAAAUCUAAAUUACUGUAGUAUCGUGGACAAAAAGGCCAAAGAGAUAUCGAGUAAACCAUAAACAAUGCCGCGAGAGCCGAGGCGUCGUCGGGUCCAUCAAUGUGUCGUCGGUCCUUCAAUUGAAUAGUUUCGUAGAAAAGGCCUACAUGACCUUGGCCACGAGUGUUUGCGGAACACGUGCGUGGUGGGCCUAAGAAAAGACAAAGGGAUGCUAGGACAGUCAGUGUCAGUGGAGAAGUCAGAGAGUGUGAAUCGAGAAGUCAGAAAGUGCGAGUUGCGUUGUCGAUAUAGUGUUGCUAGCGUUGUGUGAGAGUGUCUUCCGCAUGAGAGAGAGAGAGAGAGAGAGAGAGAGAGAGAGAGAGAGAGAGAGAGCGUUGGAUCCGUUGUGACGAGAGUUGCGAGUUAACUAUUGAGUUG